rnacentral:rRNA from 1 species
AGUGGCGGACGGGUGAGUAACGCGUGAGAAUCUGCCUUGGGGUCGGGGACAACCACUGGAAACGGUGGCUAAUACCGGAUAAGCCGAUUGGUGAAAGAUUUAUUGCCCGAAGAGGACCUCGCGUCUGAUUAGCUAGUUGGUGAGGUAAGAGCUCACCAAGGCAGCGAUCAGUAGCUGGUCUGAGAGGACGAUCAGCCACACUGGGACUGAGACACGGCCCAGACUCCUACGGGAGGCAGCAGUGGGGAAUUUUCCGCAAUGGGCGAAAGCCUGACGGAGCAAGACCGCGUGAGGGAGGAAGGCUCUUGGGUUGUAAACCUCUUUUCUCAGGGAAGAAGCUCUGACGGUACCUGAGGAAUCAGCCUCGGCUAACUCCGUGCCAGCAGCCGCGGUAAUACGGAGGAGGCAAGCGUUAUCCGGAAUUAUUGGGCGUAAAGCGUCCGCAGGUGGCGAUUCAAGUCUGCUGUCAAAGCACGGGGCUUAACUCCGUAAAGGCAGUGGAAACUGAAUAGCUAGAGUGCCGUAGGGGUAGAGGGAAUUCCCGGUGUAGCGGUGAAAUGCGUAGAGAUCGGGAAGAACAUCGGUGGCGAAAGCGCUCUACUGGACGGCAACUGACACUCAGGGACGAAAGCUAGGGGAGCGAAUGGGAUUAGAUACCCC